rnacentral:rRNA from 1 species
GCCUGAUCCAGCCAUGCCGCGUGUGUGAAGAAGGUCUUCGGAUUGUAAAGCACUUUAAGUUGGGAGGAAGGGUAGUAACUUAAUACAUUGCUACUUUGACGUUACCGACAGAAUAAGCACCGGCUAACUUCGUGCCAGCAGCCGCGGUAAUA